UGGCAGCCCGCGUCCCUGUGUGAAGCCGUCUGCAGCAGCUGCCAGAGCCCUGCUUGCUGUUUCCUUUCUCACCACCCACCUCACCCGGAAAUCCCCUGGUGAUUUCAAGACCUGACCUCUGCACCCUUUUGCUCCCCACCUGUCCCAAAAAAGUGGAGCUAUAACUGUGGGAAAAGGGGAUCUGAAGUCAGACACAGGAUCCACAGUAGCCUGGGGACCUUUCUCACCCCCGCCCUUAAGCAGGCCCCAACAUAACCGGCUGAGAAACCUCCUCUGCCAGAUCCUGACCUGAGCCAGGAGGCGGCCAGGAAACUGGAUUUUGGGACUGGGAUUUCAGAGAGGAAGCUGGAGAGCUGCAGGGUGGUCAUCUGUCACUUUAUUUUGCCCGUCUUGUAGCAUUCUCGAAAAGGCACUCUGUCACGUGUACACAGGAAAGGGCCCUGACAAGAGGAUGGGACUGCAGUUGUGGCUGCCAGAGUCUUGCUUUGUCGCCCAGGUUGGAGUGCAGUGGCACGAUCUCGGCUCAGUGCAACCUCCGCCUCCUGAGUUCAAGUGAUUCUCCUGCCUCAGCCUCCCUAGUAGCUGGGAUUACAGGACAAGGAGAGGGACAAAUUCCUUCUUGGCAUCCUUAUGGCCCUGUGACCUGCUAAUGAAUGCUGACUCUGAGUUGCUACUAGAAUUUGGUUUCCUUGUGGCUUCCCAGGAAUUGUGAGCCAUGUUGGAUAAGGACCUGCAAGGGAAGAAUGAGGAAGCCUGGGACAGUGCAGGAGGGGAGAGCACUGGUGGUAGAGAGGAGUGAUGACAAGGGUCUCCGCCAAAAGGGAAAUGGAGGGGUUAAAGAAGCUGCUGGGGAGGGUUAAAAACAAUGUGUUCUCACUCGUAGGUGGGAAUUGAACAAUGAGAACACUUGGACACAGGAAGGGGAACAUCACACACUGGGGCCUGUCGUGGGGUGUGGGGAGGGAGGAGGGAUAGCAUUAGGAGAUAUACCUAAUGUAAAUGAUGAGUUAAUGGGUGCAGCACACCAACAUGGCACAUGUAUACCUAUGUAACAAACCUGCACAUUGUGUACAUGUACCCUAGAACUUAAAGUAUAAUUAAAAAACAAAACAAAACAAAACAAAAGGUCUCACUCUGCUCACUCUGUCUCCCAAGCUGGAGUGCAGUGGUACAGUCACGGCUCACUGCAGCCUCCACUUCCUGGACUCAAGUGAUCUUCUCACUUCAGCCUUCUGAGUAGCUGGGACUACAGCCCCCUCUGCAGCUCUUCAUGGGGGUCCACUCAAGUCAGAAGCCACAUUUGGGUGUGAUUCAGAGAGCUGUUUAUGCAAAACCAGCUUUGUCACCAUCAGGCAAGGCACCUGAAUUCCCACCGCAGAGAGUGUUGUGGCCGUGAGGACUUUUCUGUCACCAGCCAUUUCCAGGUAGACCCAGUGUAAUCACAAGCAUCCUUGUAAGUGGCAAAGAGGCAGAGGAGACAGCGCCAGAGAGGCAGCUGCAUGAGAAGGAUCAAGAUGUUGCUGACUUUGAAGUUGGAAGAAGAAGGCCAUGAGCCUCAGUAUGUGGGCGGCUUCUAGAAGCUGGAAGGGGCAAGGAGAUGGAUUUGACCCUUCAGCCUCCAGGGGCAGCUGUACCUGCCAUCACUGAUUGUAGCCUGGUGAGGCCUGUUUUAGACUUCUGACCUGUAGAGCUGUAACAUAAUACAUUUGGGUUGUUUUCAACCACUAAGUUUGUGGUAAUUUGUUGUAGCAGCUGUAGAAAAUGAAUACAUAUGAAUCCUCUGGCAUUUGUUUGAGAUUUGCUCUAUGGCCUAGUAUGUGGUUGUAAAUGUUCCAUCUGUGCCUGAAAAAAUGUAUAUUUCUAAUUCAGUAGUCUCUGCUUUUUUUUUUUAUUUUGUACCCCAUCAAUAAAAUGAUUUUCAGCAUGUAUCCCCAAAUAAACAAUAUUUUAUUUAUUGAUUGAUUGAUAAACAGACAUGUUUAAUGAUAGCUUGCUUUUCACAGAGGUGACUUCGGAGACUUCUAAUCUAUAAUCCAGGAGUAUAUAACCAUG
rnacentral:lncRNA from 10 species